UCAAAAACAUGGCCUUUUGAAUAUAAUUUAAGGUCUGGCCUGCCCACUGAUAAUUAAAGGGCCGCGGUAAUUUGACCGUGCUAAGGUAGCAUAGUCAUUAGUUUCUUAAUUAGAAGCUAGAAUGAAUGGUUUGAUGAAAAAAUAACUGUCUCUAUUUAAUUUUGUAAAAUUUUAUUUUUAAGUUAAAAAGCUUAAAUUUUUUUAAAAGACGAGAAGACCCUUUAGAGUUUAAUAUUUUUGUUAAUAAAAUAAAUUAGGUAUUAUAAUUUUUAUAUUAUAUAAAAUAUUUAAUUGGGGUGAUUGAAAAAUUAAUAAAACUUUUUUUAUUUAAAUCCAUAAAUUUAUGAUUAAUUGAUCCAUUAAUAGUGAUUAAAAGAAUAAAUUACCUUAGGGAUAACAGCGUUAUUUUUUUAGAGAGUUCUUAUCGAAAAAAAAGAUUGCGACCUCGAUGUUGGAUUAAAAUUAAUUUUUGGUGUAGCAGCUAAGAAUUUUAGGUCUGUUCGACCUUUAAAAUUUUACAUGAUCUGA
rnacentral:rRNA from 1 species